UCCGGCUUAUCACCGGCAGUCGCCUUAGAGUGCCCAACUAAAUGAUGGCAACUAAGGCCGAGGGUUGCGCUCGUUGCGGGACUUAACCCAACAUCUCACGACACAAGCUGACGACAGCCAUGCACCAUCUGCACACCAACCACAAGGGAACGCCUAUCUCUAGACGCGUCUGGCGCAUGUCAAACCCAGGUAAGGUUCUUCGCGUUGCUUCGAAUUAAACCACAUGCUCCACCGCUUGUGCGGGCCCCCGUCAAUUCCUUUGAGUUUCAGCCUUGCGGCCGUACUCCCCAGGCGGGACACUUACUGCGUUAGCGACGGCACCGAGGGGGUCGCUCCCCCCGACGCCUAGUGUCCAUCGUUUACGGCGUGGACUAC
rnacentral:misc_RNA from 1 species